UGCCUAUAGUGUCCUAAAAAUAUUAGUCUG
rnacentral:piRNA from 1 species